rnacentral:lncRNA from 1 species
UUGCAAACAAGCAUUACACUGUUAUCAAGUAUGAGCAUACAGCCAAUUUAGUCAAGUCAUAUGAAUUGUUAUAGGUUAUAGGAAGUAAAUAUGUUAAUAUAUGAAGUAAAUAUUGAUAGAUGGGUCAGUCCCUUAAUCUUAGGGAUUGUAUAAUCAUAAGUUUGAUUUUCCUUCCUAUUUAGAUACCGUCUCUCGUGUAUAAAUAGGUUGUAAUAUUUAUUGUGAAUAACAAUAACAAAUAUUAUCUUUCUACAUGGUAUCAGAGCGGGGUGUAGAAAGAUAAUAUUCCAAAUAGAGUUGCCGAAAGAAAAAAUCGACAUCUUCUUGAAGUAGCCAGAGCCCUCUUAUUCCAAAUGAAAGUACCUAAAUGUUUUUGGGCUGAUGCUGUAUCCACUGCUUUUUUUUUAUCAAUCGCAUGUCUUCCUCCAUCCUUCAUGGUGAUAUCCUUUAUAAUAUUUUGUUUCCCACUAAAUCUUUGUUUCCUAAUGAGCCACGUAUCUUUGGGUGUACUUGUUUUGUUCGUGAUGGUCGUCCACAGGUUACUAAAUUGGAUCCCAAAUCACUCAAAUAUGUCUUCCUUGGUUACUCUCGACAUUAGAAAGGGUAUUGUUGUUUUUCUCCUAAUCUGAAUCGGUAUCUUGUGUCUGCGGAUGUAACAUUCUUUGAGUCCACUCCAUUUUUUCCGCCAUCAUCUGUUUAUAACACCCAGGGAGAGGAAGAUGACCUCUUGUUAUACACUGUUCGCUCUCUGUCUCCUCAGACUACUCCUACACCUUUCGCUCAUGUGUCAAGUCGCCCUCUCAUCUUUCAUGUGUAUUCCAGACGCUUAAAGGACUCUGACUCCGCUUCUUCGUCGACAGAUCCUGUUCCCACUGAUCCUCCACUGUCUGAUUUGGAUUUGCCCAUUGCUCUUUGCAAAGGUAAACGUACUUACACUUAUCCUAUUUCAGCUUAUGUCUCUUAUGAUCAAUUAUCCUCUUCUUCUCGUUGUUUUGUCACUACUUUAUAUUCUAUUUCAGUUCCCAAAACUGUUAUUGAGGCUUUGUCCCAUCUUGGUUGGCGUACUGCAAUGGAAGAGGAAAUGAUGGCCCUUGACACUAAUGGUACUUGGGAGUUGAUGUCCUUGCCCCCAAGAAAGCGGGCUAUUGGGUGCAAAUGGGUGUUUGCAGGGAAAGUAAAUCAUGAUGGAUCUGUUGCUCGCCUCAAGACCCAUUUAGUGGCUAAAGGUUAUGCACAAACUUAUGGAGUUGACUAUUCUGAUACAUUUUCCCCAGUUGCCAAGCUCGCAUCUAUUCGAUUGUUUAUUUCCUUGGCACAUACAUAUGAUUGGCCUUUGCAUCAACUGGAUAUUAAAAAUGUUUUUCUUCAUGGUGAUCUCCAGGAGGAGGUUUAUAUUGAGUAACCACCUGGUUUUGUUGCUCAGGGGGAGUCAGGCAAAGUUUGUAAACUUCGAAAAUCCCUUUAUGGCUUGAAACAAAAUCCUCGGGCACGGUUUGGCAGGUUUAGUGAGGUGGUCCAACAAUUUGGAAUGAAGAUGAGUAAGUGUGAUAACUCAGUGUUCUAUAGAAAUUCAGAUAGUGGAGUAAUUAUGCUUGUAGUAUAUGUGGAUGAUAUCGUUAUCACAGAAAGUGACAUUCCUGGCAUCACAUCCCAAAAAGAAUUUCUUAAAACACAGUUUUAUACAAAGGAUUUGGGUUCACUGAAAUAUUUCUUGGGAAUCGAAGUUAUGCGGUGUAAGAAAGGCAUCUUUUUAUCUCAAAGAAAAUAUGUUCUUGAUUUGUUAGCAGAAACAGGAAAAUUGGGCGCUAAGCCUUGUAGUGCCCCAAUGACCCCCAACCUUCAAUUUAUCACAGAAGACAGUGAGCCAUUUGCAGAUCCUGAAAGGUAUAGAAGAUUAAUUGGCAAGCUGAAUUAUUUGAUGGUGACUUGUCCUGAUAUUGCAUAUUCAGUGAGUGUGGUAAGUCAGUUUAUGUCCUCUCCUACUGUUGCCCUUUGGGACAGAUCCUUUGUUACCUUGAAGGGGCCCUAGGGCGAGGCCUAUUCUAUGGUAACCAUGGGCACUCAAAUAUUGAAUGCUUUUCUGAUGCUGAUUGGGCAGGCUCGAAGGUUGAUAGGAGGUCAACUACUGGGUAUUGUGUUUUUGUGGGAGGUAACUUGGUCUCAUGGAAAAGUAAUAAGCAAAAUGUGGUCUCCCGUUCUAGUGCUGAAUCUAAAUAUCGAGCCAUGGUACAAGCCAUUUGUGAAGUCUUGUGGGUACGUCAACUAUUGGAAGAAGUUGGGUUCACAAAUUCGGUGCUUGCUAAGUUGUGGUGUGAUAAUCAAGCAGCUAUCCACAUUGCCUCGAAUCCAGAAUUUCAUGAGAGGACUAAACACAUCGAGAUUGAUUGUCACUUUGUUCGUGAAAAGGUCCAACAAAAGAUAAUAUCAACAGAAUAUAUCCAAACUGGAGAACAAUUAGGAGAUAUCUUCACUAAAGCUCUAAAUGGAACUCGAGUUGAUUAUAUAUGUAACAAGUUGGGUAUGAUUAACAUUUAUGCUCCGACUUGAGGGGGAGUGUUAUAGGUUAUAGGAAGUAAAUAUGUUAAUAUAGGCAGUAAAUAUUGAUAGAUGGGUCAGUCCCUUAAUCUUAGGGAUUGUAUAAUCAUAGGUUUGAUUUUCCUUCCUGUUUAGAUACCUCUCUCGUGUAUAAAUAGGUUGUAAUCUUAUUGUAAAUAACAAUAACAAAUAUUAUCUUUGUACAUGAAUUAGGUGGAAGUGAAGAAAGCAAAGCGGCAAAAAAGCACCAAGGGGGAAAAUGACCAAAACCAUGCAUAUUUCCCCCACUUUCCAACAAAUAGAGGUCACAAGUGGGUUGGGCUGGACAGGUUUCAGUUUGGGUUAUUCCAGAUUGGGUGUCACUCAGGUCUUGUCUAUCUUCUGGCAGGUUUGGGUUAGGCCAUUUUGGGUUGCAGAUACAAGUUCCCAUCAUGUCACUAUGCAGAAAGGAUUUCAAGUCAAUUGGCGGGUAGAAGGUUGUUUCAGGUCAAACAAGUUAACUUUCAAAACAAUAAUAAUAAUAAUAUAAUUUUCAAGUCAAGAUUUGGGCAGAUUGUGGUCAACCAAAGAGGUCAGCCUCAAAUCAGGUUAUCAGUUUGAACCUCAAAUUUGCAGGUCAUUCAGGUUCGGGAAAUUUCAGCCUUUGUGUGUUGAAAAUGUUUAAGGGUCACAUUGGAUCAAGUGAGUUCGGCUUCUAUGCCACCUCUACCUACAACGAGCAGAAGAAAACAGGCUCACCAAACUUGCUGCUAAGAGAUCAUUACUUUAACUGUGAUAGAAGACCAACUUAAAAAAUGCAUGUGCAACUCUUGCAAGGGUUUAGCAUCUAGACAUACCUUUAGAUAAGCUGGUUACUUGUCAGAGAGACAAGCCCAGAGGACAAAGGCAAGAGAAAAGAGGGAACACAGAAGGAUUGACAGGACGACAGUUUCUAUAGGAUUUGUUGAUUCACUGGUAAAAUUUUGAAUAAAGAAAACUAGCAACCCACCCUCUAAUCUUCUGCACAUUUCAAGUCAUACCACAAGAAUAUUAAAUUUGGACUAGGUUCCAAGAACAUAUUCAAAGUAUUAUACUCAGAGCGGUGAAAUGAUUCAUGAGAUUUACUUUGUUUACUAAAGUCUAAACUCCCCAAUCUAGAAAAUUUUAUCUUUAAUUUUCUCAUUCCAUCCAAGUAUUAAAUCAACAUGCAUGCAUAACACUAGUUAGGUAGUGAUAUCUCUAAGAUCCGCGAGGAUAUAAGAUGUAUACACGUGGGAUGUAUGUGCAGAAAGGUAAUAUUUGUUGUGUAUAUUAUAAUAGAUAUUCCAAUAUAUUUAUAUAUCAAAAACCUUAUCUAGAGAGGAAAGAAAAUCAAGUCUAUGAUCAUGCAAUCCCUAAAAUUAAGGGACUAACACAUUUAUCAAUAUUUACUUCUUAUAUCAACAUAUUUACUUCCUAUAACUUAUAGCACUCCCCCUCAAGUGGGAGCAUAGAUGUUAAUCAUGCCCAACUUGUUACAUAUAUAAUCAACUCGAGUCCCAUUUAGAGCUUUAGUGAAGAUAUCUCUUAAUUGUUCUCCGGUUCUGAUAUGUCCAGUUAAAAUUAUCUUUUGUCGAACCUUCUCACGAACAAAAUAACAAUAGAUCUCGAUAUGUUUAAUCAUCUCAUGAAAUACCGGAUUAGAAGCAAUGUGGAUAGCUGCUUGAUUAUCACACCACAACUUAGCAUACACCGAAUUUGUAAGCCCAACCUCUUCCAACAAUUGACGCACCCACAAGACUUCACACAUGGCUUAUGCCAUAGCUCGAUAUUUAGAUUCAACACUAGAACGAAAGACCACAUUUUGCUUCUUAUUUCUCCAUGAGACCAUGUUACCUCCCACAAAAACACAAUAUCUAGUGAUUGACGUCCUAUCAACCUUCAAACCUGCCCAAUCAGCAUUGUUAUAGGUUAUAAGAAGUAAAUAUGUUAAUAUAGGAAGUAGAUAUUGAUAGAUGGAUCAGUUGCUUAAUCUUAGGAUUGUAUAAUCACAUAUUUGAUUUUGCUUCCUGUUUAGAUACAGUCUCUCUUGUAUAAAUAAGUUGUAAUCUCUAUUGUGAUAAAUAAUAAAUUUUAUCCUUCUACAUAGUAUCAGAGCCUCACCCAUACAGAUUUAAAUUUUUUAGAGACUUAGAGCUAUGUUCAUUUGGGUUAUCCAUAAAGGGUAACAUUUGGAGAUUUAGGGCUCCGUUCAUUUUGGGUUACCCAUAAAGGGUAAACAUUUGGAGACUUAGGGGCUCCGUUCAUUUUGGGUUACCAUAAAGGGUAAUAUUUGGAGACUUAGAGCUCUGUUCAUCGGGUUACCCAUAAAGGGUAACAUUUAGAGACUUAAGACUCUGUUCAUUUGGGUUACCCAUAAAAGGUAACGUUUGGAGACUUAGGGCUCCAUUCAUUUUGGAUUAUACAUAAAGGGUAAUAUUUGGAGACUUAGGACUCUAUUCAUCGGGUUACCCAUAAAGGGUAACAUUUGGAGACUUAGGGCUCUGUUCAUUUGGGUUACCUAUAAAGGGUAACAUUUGGAGACUUAGGGCUAUGUUCAUUUGGGUUACCCAUAAAGGGUAACAUUUGGAGAUUUAGGGCUCUGUUCAUUUGGGUUACCCAUAAAGAAUAACAUUUAGAAACAUCGGGCAUUGUUCAUCGGGUAUUGUUCACGACUAUUGUUCAUCG